rnacentral:piRNA from 1 species
AACACAAAAAGAGGCAGUGCACUUGAAAAG